rnacentral:rRNA from 1 species
AAGGAAUAUUGCUCAAUGGGAGAAAUCCUGAAGCAGCAACGCCGCGUGGAGGAUGAAGGGUCUAUGACUUGUAAACUCCUGUAAAGAAGGAAAAAAUUCCCAUUAGAUGGGAGAUGAUGGUACUUCUGGAGUAAGCCCCGGCUAACUACGUGCCAGCAGCCGCGGUAAUACGUAGGGGGCAAGCGUUGUCCGGAUUUACUGGGUGUAAAGGGUGCUCAGGCGGAUUUGUAAGUCAGAGGUGAAAUCUUACAGCUUAACUGUGAAACUGACUUUGAUACUGCUAGCCUAGAGUAUGGAAGAGAGUGAUGGAAUAUCUGGUGUAGCAGUGAAAUGCGUAGAUAUCAGAUAGAACACCAAUGUCGAAGGCAGUCACUUGGUCCAUUACUGACGCUAAAGCACGAAAGCGUGGGUAGCAAACA